AAACCAUGGUGAAGACAUUGCAUCUGAUAUCCCUUGAAGCACUCCCAUGCUUAUGCUUCACAAAAGGUCUCAGCAUUCUUCUAGGUGAAUUCGGGAAUCUCAUUCCGGAGCCU
rnacentral:snoRNA from 1 species